rnacentral:rRNA from 1 species
UACGUAGGGUGCAGGCGUUAUUCGGAAUUACUGGGCGUAAAGCGUGCGCAGGCGGUCUGCUAAGAGAGAUGUGAAAUCCCCGGGCUUAACCUGGGAACUGCGUUUCUAACUGGCAGGCUUGAGUGUGGCAGAGGGGGGUGGAAUUCCACGUGUAGCAGUGAAAUGCGUAGAGAUGUGGAGGAACACCGAUGGCGAAGGCAGCCCCCUGGGCUAACACUGACGCUCAUGCACGAAAGCGUGGGGAGCAAACAGG